rnacentral:rRNA from 1 species
UACGUAGGGCGCAAGCGUUGUCCGGAAUUAUUGGGCGUAAAGAGCUCGUAGGUGGCUUGUUGCGUCUGCCGUGAAAGCCCGUGGCUUAACUGCGGGUCUGCGGUGGAUACGGGCAGGCUAGAGGCUGGUAGGGGCAAGCGGAAUUCCUGGUGUAGCGGUGGAAUGCGCAGAUAUCAGGAGGAACACCAAUAGCGAAGGCAGCUCGCUGGGACGGUACUGACGCUAAGGCGCGAAAGCGUGGGGAGCGAACAGG